rnacentral:rRNA from 1 species
UACGAGGGGUGCAAGCGUUGCUCGGAAUUAUUGGGCGUAAAGGGUAGGUAGGUGGUCUCAUUUGUCUGGGGUGAAAGCCUUGAGCUUAACUCAAGAAGUGCCCCAGAAACGGUGAGACUGGAGUCCUGGAGAGGGUCGUGGAAUUCCCGGUGUAGCGGUGAAAUGCGUAGAGAUCGGGAGGAACACCAGAGGCGAAAGCGGCGACCUGGACGGACACUGACGCUGAGACGCGAAAGCGUGGGGAGCAAACAGG